rfam:Schistosoma haematobium scaffold544_28, whole genome shotgun sequence.
GUACUGCUGAGGAGUCCCAUACUAGGACGAAACGGCCGUCCAGUGU